AAAGAUCUCCUAUCUUGAGCUGACAUUCUGGUUGAAGAAAAAAAAAAAAACAGAGAAGACGGUGACAGAAAGUCAACACAGUCACAUUCACGAGAGUAAAUUCAUUUUGAGUUCAUGAAAGCAGCAUUCUCCCAACCUCCCCACAUAUAAGACCUUAGA
rnacentral:lncRNA from 12 species